GGGCCCGCACAAGCAGUGGAGUAUGUGGUUUAAUUCGAAGCAACGCGAAGAACCUUACCUGGGCUUGACAUCCACAGAAUGCCUAAGAGAUUAGGCAGUGCCCUUCGGGGAACUGUGAGACAGGUGGUGCAUGGUUGUCGUCAGCUCGUGUCGUGAGAUGUUGGGUUAAGUCCCGCAACGAGCGCAACCCUUAUUGUUAGUUGCCAGCAUUUAGUUGGGCACUCUAGCAAGACUGCCGGUGACAAAUCGGAGGAAGGUGGGGACGACGUCAAAUCAUCAUGCCCCUUAUGUCCAGGGCUACACACGUACUACAAUGGCUGUUAACAGAGGGAAGCAAUACCGCGAGGUGGAGCAAAUCCCUAAAAACAGUCCCAGUUCAGAUUGCAGGCUGAAACUCGCCUGCAUGAAGUCGGAAUUGCUAGUAAUCGCAGAUCAGCAUGCUGCGGUGAAUACGUUCCCGGGCCUU
rnacentral:rRNA from 1 species